UACGUAGGGGGCAAGCGUUGUCCGGAUUUAUUGGGCGUAAAGAGCGUGUAGGCGGCCAGACAGGUCCGUUGUGAAAACUCGAGGCUCAACCUCGAGACGCCGAUGGAAACCGUCUGGCUAGAGUCCGGAAGAGGAGAGUGGAAUUCCCGGUGUAGCGGUGAAAUGACGCAGAUAUCGGGAAGAACACCCGUGGCUAAGGCGGCUCUCUAGUACGGUACUGACGCUGAGACGCGAAAGCGUGGGGAGCGAACGAGGA
rnacentral:rRNA from 1 species